rnacentral:ncRNA from 1 species
CAGGCCGGGGGUCUGGGGGUUGAAAGUCCAGGCCAGCUAUGGGCAAAAGGACCCACGUAAGCGCGGAGCAAGAGGCACGCGUGAUCAUGGCAUAGCUUAGAAGUAAGUCCUCGGGAAAAUCCCGGCAAAGGCAAGUGUGGGGGCAAAGACCCGGUCAGCCCGGCCUG